rnacentral:rRNA from 1 species
GACGAACGCUGGCGGCAUGCCUAAUACAUGCAAGUCGAACGAACCAUCCUGAAGAUUGAAGCUUGCUUCAUGAUUCAGAUCUUGGUGAGUGGCGGACGGGUGAGUAACACGUGGGUAACCUGCCCAAAAGUGGGGGAUAACAUUUGGAAACAAGUGCUAAUACCGCAUAACAACUACUUUCACAUGAUCGUAGCUUGAAAGAUGGCUCUGCUAUCGCUUUUGGAUGGACCCGCGGCGUAUUAGCUAGUUGGUGAGGUAAUAGCUCACCAAGGCAAUGAUACGUAGCCGACCUGAGAGGGUAAUCGGCCACAUUGGGACUGAGACACGGCCCAAACUCCUACGGGAGGCAGCAGUAGGGAAUCUUCCACAAUGGGCGAAAGCCUGAUGGAGCAAUGCCGCGUGAGUGAAGAAGGUUUUCGGAUCGUAAAACUCUGUUGUUGAAGAAGAACAUGCGUGAGAGUAACUGUUCACGUACUGACGGUAU